rnacentral:rRNA from 1 species
ACUUAGCGGCGGACGGGUGAGUAACGCGUGGGUAACCUGCCUUACACUGGGGGAUAACAGUUAGAAAUGACUGCUAAUACCGCAUAAGCGCACAGGGCCGCAUGGUCUGGUGUGAAAAACUCCGGUGGUGUAAGAUGGACCCGCGUCUGAUUAGGUAGUUGGUGGGGUAACGGCCCACCAAGCCGGCGAUCAGUAGCCGACCUGAGAGGGUGACCGGCCACAUUGGGACUGAGACACGGCCCAA